UGACGGUACCUGACUAAGAAGCCCCGGCUAACUACGUGCCAGCAGCCGCGGUAAUACGUAUGGAGCAAGCGUUAUCCGGAUUUACUGGGUGUAAAGGGAGCGCAGACGGCAAAGCAAGUCUGAAGUGAAAGCCCGGGGCUCAACCCCGGGACUGCUUUGGAAACUGGUCAUCUAGAGUGUCGGAGGGGUAAGUGGAAUUCCUAGUGUAGCGGUGAAAUGCGUAGAUAUUAGGAGGAACACCGGUGGCGAAGGCGGCUUACUGGACGACAACUGACGCUGAGGCUCGAAAGCGUGGGGAGCAAACAGGAUUAGAUACCCUG
rnacentral:rRNA from 1 species